AAAUGCAUAUUAUCCAAGAUGCUGCUCCAAGGGAAUUCACAUGCUGACAAUAAUGUAGAACAUUUGAAUGAGCAGUACCUCUGGGGUAAUCAGUCCCGGGGCCUGGGUCACUUCCACUUCUAGUCUUUGACCUGUCUGGGUCCAGUGCAAAUCUGUUUUCAAAUACUGGAUGAGUGACCUCCCUACAAACUGCCCAGUGGAUUUCCCUAAAUAGCAACUUAUCUGUAGACCCCCUGGACAAGGGUUGUGUGUUAGGCCUUCUUUUCUCCAUGUGGUUCCUGGCAAAAGACUCGGCAUAAAGAGAUAUUUGUGCACACGAAGUCAAGGAAAUGCUCCCGCAUGGGAUCCAGAGCUCAAGAGGUUUCUUCUC
rnacentral:lncRNA from 10 species